CCCUGGCUCAGGACGAACGCUGGCGGCGUGCCUAAUACAUGCAAGUCGAGCGAAUCUUUGGGAGCUUGCUCCCGAAGGUUAGCGGCGGACGGGUGAGUAACACGUGGGCAACCUGCCUAUAAGACUGGGAUAACUUCGGGAAACCGGAGCUAAUACCGGAUAAUCCUUUUCCUCUCAUGAGGGAAAGCUGAAAGACGGUCUCGGCUGUCACUUAUAGAUGGGCCCGCGGCGCAUUAGCUAGUUGGUGAGGUAACGGCUCACCAAGGCGACGAUGCGUAGCCGACCUGAGAGGGUGAUCGGCCACACUGGGACUGAGACACGGCCCAGACUCCUACGGGAGGCAGCAGUAGGGAAUCUUCCGCAAUGGACGAAAGUCUGACGGAGCAACGCCGCGUGAACGAUGAAGGCUUUCGGGUCGUAAAGUUCUGUUGUUAGGGAAGAACAAGUAUCGGAGUAACUGCCGGUACCUUGACGGUACCUAACCAGAAAGCCACGGCUAACUA
rnacentral:rRNA from 1 species